UGGGGGAGGGGCAGAGAGACAGGGAGACACAGAAUCGGAAGCAGGCUCCAGGCUCUGAGCUGUCAGCACAGAACCCGAGGCGGGGCUAGAACUCACGGACCGUGAGAUCGUGACCUGAGCUGAAGUCGGACGCUUAACCGACUAAGCCGCCCAGGUGCCCCUGAAAUUGUGUUUUCUUGUAGACAUACUCCAAUAGCUACAGAAACCAGCUCCCUGUUGAGGAUGAUGGAAAUUUUUGCUUGACACGGACUCUAAGAUUGCCAACGCCUCUCCCUCUGGCUAGAGCCAGAUAGAGAUCCCCUGCUGACUACCAGGAAACGGGGAGUGCUGUAGAUCGAAUUCCACACUUACAUAAUACGACAGCAAGAUCAGUUGCGUGCGCAUGAUCGCCAGGGUUCCCCUUCCCCCUGACCCUUGAAACGGAGCAGAGUUCCUGAAAACAUUCCAGUUGAAAUGAUAAGGCCAGUUCGUAUGGUCCCUGGAAGAAAGCCGUUGCAGGAAAGUAUUCGAGUGUCCCUAUUCUGGGAAAACCGAUGGCUAUCAGAAACCCAGUGUUUGCCACGGCGACCAGGGAAAACACAGAUCUUCCUCGCAAAACCCGACGAGCAGCCAACAUGCACAAUGGAAGGGACACAUAAGUGAUAAUCAUGGGUGAGCUGGGGGGACAGUCCCCCUGGCAGGCCUGCAAGGUGGGCUUGGCCUCAAUAUGAGUAAUGGGUCCUUCCCAGUGUAACCUUGACGGUCCUCAGCACCCUGGAAACAGCCGGUGUGGGAGAGAUCCCUGAGUCUUAGUGGGAGAGACUGAUGUCCACCUGCUACAGAGACGUGACAUUUGGCUCGUCCCACUGU
rnacentral:lncRNA from 1 species